GACGAACGCUGGCGGCGUGCCUAAUACAUGCAAGUUGAGCGAUGAAGAUUGGUGCUUGCACCAAUUUGAAGAGCAGCGAACGGGUGAGUAACGCGUGGGGAAUCUGCCUUUGAGCGGGGGACAACAUUUGGAAACGAAUGCUAAUACCGCAUAACAACUUUAAACAUAAGUUUUAAGUUUGAAAGAUGCAAUUGCAUCACUCAAAGAUGAUCCCGCGUUGUAUUAGCUAGUUGGUGAGGUAAAGGCUCACCAAGGCGAUGAUACAUAGCCGACCUGAGAGGGUGAGCGGCCACACUGGGACUGAGACACGGCCCAAACGCCUACGGGAGGCAGCAGUAGGGAAUCUUCGGCAAUGGACGAAAGUCUGACCGAGCAACGCCGCGUGAGUGAAGAAGGUUUUCGGAUCGUAAAACUCUGUUGGUAGAGAAGAACGUUGGUGAGAGUGGAAAGCUCAUCAAGUGACGGUAACUACCCAGAAAGGGACGGCUAACUACGUG
rnacentral:rRNA from 1 species